rnacentral:misc_RNA from 1 species
CGCAGCCAUGAAUCCAACUGUUGGUGCUGAGUGUUCAUGAUAAUAACUGGCUGCUGCAUCGACUAGGUUUUUGUAUGAUUUUGGAGAAGCUUGGCGGAAGACAAGGCACUACAAGUUGUUCUCCGAUGAGUGGCUUCAAUGGCGGCAUCUUCUGUAGUAGGGAACAAGACAUGUUGUCAGAUUGUUUGGCGAAGUACAGAUGAAGCAGCAUAAGAGGAGGGAACAAAACAUGUUGUCAGAUUGUUUGGCGAAGUACAGAUGAAGCAGCAUAAGAGGAGGGAACAAA